CCUACGGGAGGCAGCAGUAGGGAAUAUUGCUCAAUGGGGGAAACCCUGAAGCAGCAACGCCGCGUGGAGGAUGAAGGUUUUCGGAUUGUAAACUCCUUUUGUUAGAGAAGAUAAUGACGGUAUCUAACGAAUAAGCACCGGCUAACUCCGGGCCAGCAGCCGCGGUAAUACGGAGGGUGCAAGCGUUACGCGGAAUCACUGGGCGUAAAGAGCGCGUAGGCGGGAUAGCAAGUCAGAUGUGAAAUCCUAUGGCUUAACCAUAGAACUGCAUUUGAAACUGUUAUUCUAGAGUAUGGGAGAGGUAGGUGGAAUUCGUGGUGUAGGGGUAAAAUCCGUAGAGAUCAAGAGGAAUACUCAUUGCGAAGGCGACCUGCUGGAACAUAACUGACGCUGAUGCGCGAAAGCGUGGGGAGCAAACAGGAUUAGAUACCCGUGUAGUC
rnacentral:rRNA from 1 species